rnacentral:lncRNA from 1 species
CAAUUUACGGUCCAACUUCCAAUCAUCUUCAAAUGUCGUGACCGCAUAAUUUGCCCAAUCUUUGAUUAACUGGCAAGAGACCCCACAACACUCAUGUUUUCAAGGCCGACGUGUCGGGCUGCGGAAGAAAGGAGUGAAGGUGGAGCUUGAAGAUGAUCAGAUUCUGCUGAUAAGUGAUGAGAGGAAGACAGAGUUGAAAGAUAAGGGCGAUACAUGGCAUAGGAUUGAAAGUAGUAGUGAGAGUUUUAUGAGGAGGUUCAGGCUGCCGAAAAAUGCCAAAGUGGAUCAGGUGAGCAAGCAUGAAGAAUGGGGUUUUGACUGUGACUGUAUAAAUGUGGACGCUAAGAAUGUUGAUGUGAAAUCAAUUAAGAUUUCUGGUUGAUUUUGGGUUCAAUUUGACAAUCAAUCAAGUAUAGUGGGUAAUAUUUAUGGAGUUUCUUAGUUUUUCUCAGUCUAUAAGGGUGUUGUUUGGUAUGUUGUUUUGGGAAUAUGGUGGUGUGAACGAAAGAUUAUGAUUAUGAACGUUAAUCCGAUUUUCAUGUAAGUCAUUUGCUUAAAACAAUGCAAGAAUAUUGCUUCUGGCUCUGCUUCGAUCUUGUUAGCGAAAAUCGCUUUCUGGGUUUUGUAUAUACUUAAAAAUCUUUUGAUUUUUUGGGUAUUUUUUUAUUUUUCUGCUUUAUUUCGUUACUUGUUAUGGGCUUUGAGAUGUGUUUAAUUCUUGAAUAACAGAUUCGUUUUUCAUCAUUUCUUUAUCAUAUUUCUAGCUCAGUAAUUCUGAUAUUGUUCAUUCAUUUCGUAUUUCAUUUUUUUCCUUGGUCUUUGAGCUGCACUGAAUCUAAAGUAUUUUAGGAACCGAUGUGCUAUUAACAUCUCCUCAUCAACAUUUACAACAUCCUCAAGAGAUUUUCUUUUAUAAAAUCGUUCCAUGAUUAUUUUCACAAAAAUUAGCCACAAACCACUCCAAUUCACUGCACUUCUCCGACAAUUUACUGCACUUCUCGAAUUCACUACGCUUAUAUAAUUCCAUUUCACAGAUUCUCCAAGCCAAAAACCCCUCCAAUUAUCAAAGAAUACACUAGUAUGUGCAAACUUGCUAAAAAAUAUAAUAUUGGAAAGGUAACUAACAAAAAGAAUCAAAAUGUGGAUGAAAAACGGUAAAGCUCUAAAUUUUAGUUUAGACCCUAAGCUAAAAUCCAAUUUUAGAGUUUACCAAGAAUUCAAUUGAUAUAUAAAAUGAAUUGGAGAAUUUGUAAAAUAGAAGAAGACGAAACAAAUUGCAUUUCUCAAUUCUCAUUGAUACAUGAAAUAAAAUGAUUUGCAGGCAUAAAGAAUAAAGAUAUAACCAUACAGGAACUUCAGAAACUAGAAGCAAGCCGCGGAUUAGCCGAGGUCAGAUCCUCACUCCUCCUGUCCUCAAGUCAAAGUUGAACCAUCAAAGCAGGUAGCCGUCGCCCGUCUUUGCGUUGGCUUGAAGCCAACAGCGGGGCCUGAUAUUCUACUGUUUCUUCUAGACUUCUACCAUUCAAGCUUCCUCCUCAAUCAUAUGGGUAAUUCUGUAGGUUAAUAAAAUUGAGCCAAUUAAUUGGCCCAUUUCAAUGCUAUGAUGUUAACGCCUUGGGCAAAUUGUAUGACAGACAAGUUCUUGUAUUAGUUAGUUAAUGACAUGGCAGUUAGUUAAUUAGUUAGUAACAUGGCAAUUAGUUGUUAGUUAAUAUUCUGUUAUUUGUUAGAGUUGUACAGCUUUCCAUUAAUUCUGUUAGAGCUAAACUCUAUAUAUAUCAUUGUACACGGAUCAGAAGAAUGAAGAAAAUUCAUUUUACAAUUUCUCUUCAAUUCAUUGGCUUUAGAUUUUAUCAUGGUAUCAGAACAAUCUCUCUAGCUUCUGCUUCCAACUAUGGCUGAUGAUCAUCAGGUCACCUCUCAGAUUCACACAGAUUGUGCAAUUCCUGAAGGUACCUUAAUUCCCAUCUCUCCAUCAUCAAAUCCACUGGAAAAUCCUACCGGUGCUGCUGCAAUUCCUGCACAAAUCAACUCCCGAAUCAUGGACGAUCCUAAUAGUCCAUACUAUCUUCAUUAUGGCGAAAAUACUGGUACACAGCUCAUCUCUGUUCUUCUUUCUGAUGAAAAUUACUCCACUUGGAGCCGGGCAAUAACCAUGGCCUUGAGUGUCAAGAAUAAAGAAGGCUUCAUUGAUGGAACAAUCUCUAAGCGAGAUCUCAAUGAUCCUCUUUUCAUUCCAUGGAGAAGAUGUAACCAUGUGGUGUCUGCAUGGAUAAUCAAUUCGAUUCCCAUGGAGCUUUAUCCUAGUGUCAUGCAUAAAGACUCAGCAUGGGAAAUUUGGCUUGAGCUUCAUGACAGAUACAAUCAAAGUAAUGGUCUCCGCAUUUAUCAACUGCAAAAAUUGAUUUCUUCAAUUUCACAGAACAAUGGAUCUAUCAGUUCUUAUUUUAAUAGAUUGAAAGGGCAUCGGGAAGAAUUGGCUCACUACAGGCCACAUAAUUAUAAUCACUACCAAUCUGAUGAUCAGGUUAUGCAAUUUUUGAUGGGCUUAGACAAUUCCUAUAAUGCUGUUAGAAGCCAGAUCCUUCUUAUGGAUCCAAUUCUUCCAUUGAAUCGUGUUUUUGCGAUGGUUUCUCGAGAAGAAAAGCAAAGACAGGUUACAUCUUUACAUCAAAAUGUAGAGGCUGCUGCUUUUGCCAAUCAUGGUGCUCUCAAUCAACAACAGUUUGUCAAGCACACAAACAGUAACAACCAGGGACAAAGGAAGGAUAGACCUAUUUGUAGUUAUUGUGGCAUCACUGGCCAUAAGAAAAAUGAGUGUUAUAAACUACAUGGAUACCCUCUAGGACAUCGUUUGGCCAAGAAAUCACCUACAAAUGCGUCAGCACAUCAAGUCUCUACAUCAGAUUGUUCUGAGUACUACAUAAUCUCAGUAACAUUACCACAACUCCUAACCAAUGUCAACAGAUUAUCUUUAUGCUAAAGCCUCAACUUGAAGCUUUUAUACCUUCAUCUGUUGCUUCAACUUCCACCGGUGCUGUAAAUCAUGUUGGAGAUUUGCAAGUUGCAUCAACUCACUCUUCAAUGAUGCCUUUUGCUAUAGCUUUCUCAGGUAGUAGCUUAGUAUGUUCAGUUUAUACAUACACAGAAAAUACUUGGAUAAUUGAUAUUGGGC